GACAUCCCGGAGACCCUUAGGAACUAGGGGGUGCUUCCAUCUGGAAGAAUCUGGAGACAGGUGCUGCAUGGCUGUCGUCAGCUCGUGUCGUGAGAUGUUGGGUUAAGUCCCGCAACGAGCCGCAACCCUUGCCUUUAGUUGCCAGCAGUUCGGCUGGGCACUCUAAAGGGACUGCCGGUGUUAAACCGGAGGAAGGUGGGGAUGACGUCAAGUCCUCAUGGCCUUUAUGGACCAGGGCUACACACGUACUACAAUGGCCGAUACAAAGGGCAGCGACACUGCGAGGUGAAGCCAAUCCCGUAAAAUCGGUCUCAGUCCGGAUUGGAGUCUGCAACUCGACUCCAUGAAGUUGGAAUCGCUAGUAAUCGUGGAUCAGCAUGCCACGGUGAAUACGUUCCCGGGCCUU
rnacentral:rRNA from 1 species